GUUCAUGUAAUCUGAGGCUGACACCCUGUUCCCCAUAAACAGCCUGUGAGUCUCUGCUAGGGUGAAGGUGUUCAGUGCUCUGCUCUAACAAAAGUCUACUCUACAAAAAGAAAAGAUUCGACCCGACAGAGAGGCGACUCUGAAAGCAAAGGCUCUGUCCUCAAACUAUUGUACUCCACUUGACUUUUGUUGGGAAAAAAACAAAACAAGCAUCAUGGGAAAAGGUGAAAGUGAGGAGUGGGAUGAGAAGAGCCACGACACGAGGCAGUCUCAGCCCCGGAGAUACGAGGAGACAGAGACUAAAAGCUCAGGGACGAAGUGUCCUGCAUGCUGCUUGAAGACAAGGAACUGUCUGAUGAGUGCAGAGUGCGGCCGGGCACUUCAGAUCUCCAGUGUCGUCGCCUGGUGCGGCAUGUGCAUCCGCAUGUUCGUAUGACCUGACCUUGGGCAUCAUACCCUGCUUUUCCAGGAUCAUCAUCACUCACUCUUUAUAAAAGUGAUGCCAAGAGGUUUUCUUCAAAUCUGCUAAAAGUUGUCUUUCAAAUUCUUUAACCACAAAUUAUUCAUUUCACAUGAUUACUGUCCGUAUAUAGAACAGCUCAGAAAGUCAUUAUGAAAGAAUGAAUGAAUGAAUGGAUGGAUGAUUGAGCGUGUUUGAUUGAUCAUUUCUGAUGGAUAUGUAUUAUGUAAAAUCAGAUGUCUAUAUUUAUAUUUUUAGGUAAGAAAUUUGCAAAAAUAAUAUAAAAAAUAAUAUGAUGAAUAUAAUAGUAAUAAUGUUAAAUGAGUAUGACAUGAACUUGAGAAUGUUAUACUUUAUGCUACAGUGGAAAAUAUGUUCUCUUACAAUAUGAGUAAGAUGGUUUUGGUGAAAAAACAUUGACAUAUCUGAACUAAAACAACAUUUUGAAUAAAGCUUCAAGUAACAACAAGAAAAAAAAGUGUUUCAUUUAA